CUAGGCCAGGCUCCAACAGGCCACCUGAUCUUGAUGCAGCUUGCCCUCUGGUCUUGUUGGUUCUUACUUUUCGUGCCCUUUUUGGUAACUGGUUUUAUUUUCUUACUAUUGAACUUGGGGCCUGCUGGGUGUCCACCUCUCCUGUAUGCCUCUCCAGCUGUAUACCAGCUGCCUGAUGACUCCUGUGUGCAGCUUCUGUUUUUAGGGUAUCACCCACACCCCAUCGAAGUAGGGCUACAGACAAUGGAAAAAAGAAAAAGGACAAAAAGGAAACAACAAAGGAACACCCACAGUCAAAAAGGGGAAAAAGGAAGGACACAAAAGAAAAGAGGGCUGAUGAGGAAGGAGAGGUCAGGCUGAAUAGCCCUUCCUCACUCCCAGCCCUAGAGCCUGUGCCUGGCCAUGUCCCCCUACACUGCCCCACUCUAGGCCUCUGUCAGGAUCUUCCUCCACUCUCCCCUGGGUUGAAUCCUCUCCUGCAUGCCAGUGCUGCCUAUGACCAGUGUAGAGAGCUUCUGUAGCCUCCACGCCUUAGAUGUACCCUUCCAAGCAGGAUCUUCCUUUACACACCAGUGCUGCCUGCGGCCAGUGUGGAGAGCCUCUGCAGCCUCCAGUGUCUCCCACACUCUCCCCUCUUCCCUGCUGGUGCUGGCUUUUAUCCCAGCUGAACAGCGGUCAUUAAUGACAUCACCUGCCCAUGCCAGCUCCAGCUGUAGAUAAGCGUGGCUGACGAACCACGCAGGCAUUUCUUCCUGGCAUAGUUCGUCCUGUGUCUGGUGUCCUAAAGCAGUUUCAGGUAGGAAAGGGGUAAGACUGGCUCCUGGGCCUCGCUGAUGAAGUAACAACCUGCUACAGGACUCCUACUCUGAACCAUGAAGAAGGUAGCAAUAAUAACAAUAAAGACUUGUAUGAGCAGGAGUAUAACUGCCCCAGGCAGGCUGUCAGUGCUACCCUGAGGCUGCCAGUAUAAAUUAAUUGUAUCUAACUCAGAAAGCUGGUUCAAGUACAGUAAAUCUUCCACAGUAGUUACAGUGAAAAAAACUCAGCCUGAUGAAACCUCGCAAUUAAGGUUUCAGAUGUCAGGACAGAGUGUAGUACUUUCCAAUUACAUAUAAUUACUAAAAAGUCCUUUAUUCUGGUGCUGUUAUGAAAACACAACUUUAAAAAAAUAAUUUUCAUUAUGUUAUUUAGCAUGCUUGACUAGGAUCCAUAGCAUAUCUCAAUCUACAGUUCCAUCAGAUCUAAACAGGGUAAGGCAGUGUGUAGUACUUGAAUGGGAAACUUCUUCAAAGGGGCUUCAGUGACUCAACAGGAAGUUGCAUGCUUCCUUCUGAAUCAAUACUGAGUCUCUGCAUUGGGUUAGGGGCACUGUUCUACUGGAGAAGCCAUAUUUUAAAUGAGUUGUAAAGCUGAUUUCUCCAUUUCAAUGUAUUUUUUCUGACAUUUUCUCCAGAUAAGGUUGUUAGAGCUACUGUCUCAGCCAUACUGAAACUUGACUACAUCUGUGCUACCUUCUUUUUAAUGGACUUCUUGAAGAACAAGCAAAGUGGAUAGCAAACUUUA